rnacentral:rRNA from 1 species
CUCGUAGGCGGUUUGUCGCGUCUGCCGUGAAAGUCCGGGGCUCAACUCCGGAUCUGCGGUGGGUACGGGCAGACUAGAGUGAUGUAGGGGAGACUGGAAUUCCUGGUGUAGCGGUGAAAUGCGCAGAUAUCAGGAGGAACACCGAUGGCGAAGGCAGGUCUCUGGGCAUUAACUGACGCUGAGGAAGCCGAAAAGCGAUGGGGAGCGAACA